GUUCUACCUUGCCAUUGCCCUUGCAAAGAAAUAAAGCCUUUUCCACUGAUAAUAGAGAUCCAGCCAAGACUUCUUCAAUGCCUCUGCAAAUGACCCUUCAGUCUGCUCUGUAUUGCAACAUUGAUGGUAGCCCCACAAACAAAGUAAUCAGAGCUUCCCACAAGUUCAUUUACAUCUGAAAUUUGCCCAAUCCCCUUGAUGGGACACUGCAACAUCCUCUGGUAUUAUCUGGAAUUGUGGAAUGAGGCUACUUGACUUUCCAAGCAUCAAUUCUCCAGAUACUAUUACAUUUUCAGCCUUUUAGGAGAACUAAAUGUGAAUUACAGAAAUGCAUCCCUGAAGAGGAAAGUCAUACAGGAGACCCAGGCUUCAAUGUCACCUGUAGAGAGAAGAUUAGGUGGAUUAUGGGAAUCCACUGGGCACAGCCAGAGGUCCCUCCCUCAGUGGCACUAGAACUGAGUCUGAAAAAGUGGGGUUCUGAAGCCCUGAGUUGCCCGGGGCAACACCUCAUCUCCAAGCAUUUGAUUUAAUUUGAGUCAAUGAAAACCUGAAGGGAAGACAUUGACCAGCCUCUAAACCAGCAGAGUGUCCCAUGGCACCCACUCCAGGGAAGACUCAUAAGGACAACUGGACACUGUAGGA